rnacentral:rRNA from 1 species
UACGUAGGGGGCAAGCGUUGAUCCGGAUUUACUUGGGUGUGAAAGGGAAGGCGUAGACGGCAUGGCAAGGUCAGGAAGUGAAAGCCCGGGGCUACAACCCGACGGGACGUGCUUUUGAAACUGUCAGGCUGGAGUGCCGGAGAGGUAAGCGGAAUUCCUAGUGUAGCGGUGAAAUGCGUAGAUAUUAGGAGGAACACCAGUGGCGAAGGCGGCUUACUGGACAGUAACUGACGUUGAGGCUCGAAAGCGUGGGGGAGCAAACAGG